UUAGGGCUUGCAAGAGUCCAGUGUAAAGGCAAAUGAAAGACCCAGGUGCAAAAAUGGGUGGGCAUGUGUUUCCUUUCUUCCAUCAGAUGGGGCGUCCUUACUCCCAGUCUUUCCAGAUGUUCUUCCCACUCCUCAACUGCUCCUGGCUCAGAAACCCUGCACACCUGGAAGAAAGUGAGAACCAGUUUUUCAACAAACACAUUGCACAGACUUAUUGUGAACCCCGGGUGGAAUCAAGCAUCGGAGGAAGAGAACGUGGUAAUAUUGACUCCAAUCCAGAAGACAGUCAUCAGUUAAGUAAAUAAAACAGGAACAGAACAUUGGUACUUACAGUAGGCAUGAUUUUAAGAUAAACCCCAAUGAGUCAUAUCCUUGUAUAAUCUCCUCCCCUUGAGUGUUGUUGGAGCUAAUGAGUUGCAUUUAGUGAACAGAAUAUGGCAAAGAUGGUGGGAUCGUCACUUCCGUGGUUAUGUUAUUGCUAUGUAAACUGCCAUUAUAGCAGACUGGAAGGAUUGAUUCUCCUUUUGGCCAUGACGUAGUGAGGU
rnacentral:lncRNA from 10 species